GGGGUUGUGGCUCAGUGGUAGAGCACAUGCCUCACAUGUGUGAGGCACUGGGUUCAAUUCUCAGCACCACA
rnacentral:tRNA from 1 species